GCGGGCGUACCUCAGCGCAUAGAGGAGCCGAUUACUAAUCGGCUUGACGUGGGUUGGAAUCCCACCGCCCGCG
rnacentral:tRNA from 1 species